rnacentral:rRNA from 1 species
GACGAACGCUGGCGGCGUGCCUAAUACAUGCAAGUCGAACGCAGUGGGGACGGGUGAGUAACACGUGGGUAACCUCCCAUCAGAGGGGAUAAACCUUGGAAACAGGUGCUAAACCGCUACUGAUGGAUGGACCCGCGGGGCAUUCGCUGGGUGGUGAGGUAACGGCUCACCAAGGCCACGAGGCAUAGCUGACCUGAGAGGUUGUACGGCCACACUGGGAAUGAGACACGGCCCAGACUCCUACGGGAGGCAGCAGUAGGGAAUCUGCGGCAAUGGACGAAAGUCUGACCGAGCAACGCCGCGUGAGUGAAGAAGGUUUUCGGAUCGUAAAACUCUGUUGUUAGAGAAGCGGUAUCUAACCAGAAAGCCACGGCUAACUACGUGCCAGCAGCCGCGGUAAUUC